CAUGGAACAUCUGCUUACAGAGUUGGGAGUGGAAAUCUAUUACAAAAAAAAAAAAGCAUACGUCUCGUCCCUGCAGCACUCUAUUCGUAAACGUAAAACGGUUCAAAACCCCGAGGAAGCCCGUUAUCGCCAUUUGACACGACAGGACGAGCUGCAAACGGUCUCCAGAUCUGUUUCUUCUCUCACGGAAUACGU